GGGGUUAGGACCUUCUAGGAAUUGAAGGGGUUCAAAGUUGGUAUUAUUUUUUUUUACGUGUCCACCGUACAUUCUUUCGGCAAGUCUCGCCAGCUCCGUACGGCAAAGUUCGACACCGGACAUAGCUCAAAUGAAAGGUAAUGAAUCAGAGCAGGACCCACUUAAAUGAUUUUUUGGGGGUUAGGACCUUCUGGGAAUUGAAGGGGUUCAAAGUUGGUAUUAUUUUUUUUUUACGUGUCCACCGUACAUUCUUUCGGCAAGUCUCGCCAGCUCCGUACGGCAAAGUUCGACAUCGGACAUAGCUCAAAUGAAAGGUAAUGAAUCAGAGCAGGACCCACUUGAAUGAUUUUUUGGGGGUUAGGACCUUCUGGGAAUUGAAGGGGUUCAAAGUUGACAUUCAAAGUGUACGGGUUUUUUUUAAACAAAAAAAUCUUUACUUUUCUUUUAAGUAAGGAUGCAUGCCGUACAAAAUAGUGCACGUAUACUUUCAAUUCAAAAUAUUGUUUGUGGGCAUGAAAUGUACUCUUACAGUUUGUUAUUUUGUAUGUUUUCAUUUUCAGAAUAGGGAAUAGACAUUAAAAGUUCCUUUUCUAGAAAACAAAGGAUAUUUGAGGAUGCCGAGUGUAUGGAAAGCCAGUAUAUAGUUAUUCUUUCGCACAUAAUAUUUUUCUUAUUUCGUUUAUUUGAAAGCUGAUACAUUGUACAAAGGAACAAGUUUAAGUGAACUCACAUUACAUAGUUAUUCUAUGCUCCGCCUACGACAGUAAAGCCCAUAAUAUUAUCUGGGUUUUUUUUUGUUCGUUCGUUCGUUAAUUCGUUUGUCCGUUUGUCCGUCCAUUCAUACUGCAUUAGAAUGACGUAAGUGUUGAAUCUA